rnacentral:rRNA from 1 species
AUGGGCGCCAUCGUCGAGAAUUUCAUGGACUGGCUCCCCACCGGUGGAAAUGCCGUGGCAAUCGCCGCCUCCCUCUCCGCCGCCGUUGACUACGAGGGCGAGGACCGCAUCAGCGCCCUCCCCGACGACCUCCUCCGCAACAUCGUCUCUCGCCUCCCCGUCAAGGACGCCGCCCGAACCGCCGCCAUCGCCUCUCAGUGGCGCCACCUCUGGCGCUCCACCCCGCUCGUCCUCAGCGACGUCGGCCUACUUCCCUCUGUGGUCGCCCGCGUCCUCGCAGACCACCCGGGCCCCUUCCAGGCCAUCCACAUCGCCCGUUGUAGGUUCGCGUCCCACGAGCGUGAGCUCGCAGAGUGGCCGCGCCUCCUCGCCGCCAAGGGCAUCCAGGACCUCGUCCUCGUCAACGACGUCAUCGGCACCCAGUUCAUCACCGACACCGUGCUCCUCCCAGCGGACAUUUUCCGCUGCGCCUCACUCCAGCGCCUCUUCCUGGGCUUCUUCAGGUUUCCGGACACCGCUGGUCUCUCGCGCGGACCCGACAUCCUGCCCCAUCUUCGGGAGCUCAGCAUGUUCACGACAGUCAUCAACAACUGGGACCUCGACUACAUGCUCGCUUGCUGCCCGGUCCUGGAGAAGCUCGCGUUCGUACUCAGCAAUUCGCCCGAUCUCAUCCACCUCCGCAGCAAAAGCCUCCAGUGUGUGCUCCUCUGGUUUUUCACGGCGGAGGAGGUCGCCGUGGUGGACGCCCCGCUCCUGAAGCGGCUCUUCUUGGUGGAUCUCGCGGGCUCUCCUCAGCAGCCCCGUGACGACAGUACUACGAUGAUCAAGAUUGCUUGUGCGCCCAGCCUGCGGGCGCUAGGCUUCUUGGAGACAAGAACUCACCGGCUGCAUAUCGGCGACAAUGCCAUCAAGCCUGGCAUACUGCCGACCCCAAGCACAAUGCUUCCGGGCGUUAAGAAAUUGGCCGUUAAGGUUAAUUUUGGUGUCUCAAAGGAGGCCAAGAUGCUGGUGGCCUUCCUCAGAUGCUUUCCCAACGUUGACACGCUGCACAUUGAGUCUUUAACUGAACCCACCGGAAGAAAACAUGCCAAGUUCUGGCGGGAGCUCUCCACUGUUGAAUGCAUCGAGUCCCACGUCAAGAAGAUGGUUAUCCAUGAAUAUAGAGGGGAUCAAAGUGAACUUCGAUUCCUUAAGUUCAUUUCCAGGAGAGCGGAAGUGCUACAAACUUUGUAUGUUCUGCUAAACAGAGAGAGUCUUACUUCGGUGGCCAAGGUGAGAAAGAUGACACGCAGAUUGGUGGCUCUCUCGCGUCUAGCAUGGAGCGAUGACUGUCAGAUAAUGGUGCUAGGCCCUGAACUUCAGAAUGAUUGGAGCUUCCAGAAAGCAUCCGAUCUUACUGUCGACGACCCGUUUCACUGGUGA